AGCAGCCGCGGUAAUUCCAGCUCCAAUAGCGUAUAUUAAAGUUGUUGCAGUUAAAAAGCUCGUAGUUGAAUUUCGGGGUCAGUAGUCUGGUCGUGCCACUGGUAUGUACUGGGCUCACUGAUUCCUCCUUCCUGAUGAACUGUAAUGCCAUUAAUUUGGUGUUGCAGGGAAACUGGACUGUUACUUUGAAAAAAUUAGAGUGUUUAAAGCAGGCUAACGCUUGGAUACAUUAGCAUGGAAUAAUGAAAUAGGACGUUCGAUCCUAUUUCGUUGGUUUCUAGGAUUGACGUAAUGAUUAAUAGGGAUAGUUGGGGGCAUUAGUAUUCAAUUGUCAGAGGUGAAAUUCUUGGAUUUAUUGAAGACUAACUACUGCGAAAGCAUUUGCCAAGGAUGUUUUCAUUAAUCAAGAACGAAAGUUAGGGGAUCGAAGACGAUCAGAUACCGUCGUAGUCUUAACCAUAAACUAUGCCGACUAGGGAUCGGAUGAUGUUAAUUUUUAAUGA
rnacentral:rRNA from 1 species